CGGUUACUUUCCCAGUAUUACCAAACGUGAGAAAUGAAUUUUCAAAUUCGUUUCAUGAAUCAAACGGGACUUUGGAGAUCCAUUUUUACUCCAUUGGAAAUGGGUUUUUGGCAUGAGUUGCUAUACCUUGCAGCUCCAUUCAAAGCUCUCACUGGGCUUGCCCUUAUAAGAUAUGUUUUUGGGUGCUUAUUUUUUCACUUCUUUUUUGUCCACUUACACUUCAUUUUAUUUUAUAAUAUUUUUUUAUAUGACAUUUUCUAUUAGGUGGGGCGAUAAUAUACUAAAUUCACAUACGGAUACUAGGAUUCGAAAGAAUCAUAAUGACUCCCUAUAAUUUAAUGCUGCUUUGUUUUAUGCAUAUUUUAAACUUUUAAUUAAUGCUAAUUAUUUUUUAUUAUAAAAAUGAACCAAUUAUGUUGAAUUACAAAAUAAUUAUAGUAUUUAUGGUAAGGAAAAAUGCUCUCCUCCUAAAAUAGUUUUUUGUUUGUAUUUUUAGUUAAAAUUUAACGAAAAAAUAAGGAACAUUAUUGCGGAUGAGUGCAAAAAUCAGCUCCGUUUAAUUUUUUUUUUUUCCCAAUCUUCAUGUUUUUUUUAUUUAUCAGGCUUCUUCAUUUAUGUCCUAGACAUCGAAAGAAACCCAAGCCCUAGAAUAUGGAGGAAAUGGAAGAGGCAAGCAACCAAAACCCAAGCGCCACCGUUGCCAAUUGAAACCUAAACGAUCUCCCAGAGGAGCUCCUCCUCCACAUCCUCACCUGUCUUCCCAUAUUAGAAUCGGUCCAAACCUCCCUCAUAUCCCAGAAAUGGAGACCCCUCUGGUCUCGUGUUCCCUCCUUGAACUUCCUCUUCGAACUCUUCCCGCCAUACGAGCCACCCUUAGAUACUCGCCAGUUCUUCGCCGAGUUCAUCGACCGCGUUCUUAUUCUUCGCUCCAAUUCUCCCAUCCACACUUUUCGCCUCUCUUUCAUCUACCAUGGUCACUACCGCUCUCAUGUCGAUUCUUGGGUUCGAUCCGCCAUAACCCGACUUCGCACACGUGAGCUCUAUCUCGACUUCUUCAUCCACAAAGAUUUUCAUGACGAAGAAACUCAUAAUCACAGGUAUGAUUUCCCUUUCUCUGUUCUGAGAAAUGGGUGCGUAGCAAUCUUAGGCCUUACGCGAUGUGAUCUUUCGUUGCCGGCUAAAAUGUCCACGCUGCGUUUUUGCUCGAUUGGGUCCAUGUUUCUCAAUGAGGUUUAUUUGACGGACCAGGCAAUGCUGGAUUUAAUUUCGGGUUGCCCCAAUUUGGAGGCUUUGGAUCUUGAGAACUGUUUGGCGCAUCAUCAUAUGAAGAUAUGUAGCGCAAAGCUUAAGAGGCUAGCACUUAGGUAUUUUUAUGAUUCUGAACUCAAAGAGACCAUUUUGGUUGAUUGCCCAAACCUUUGUUCGAUCAGUUUUAAUUGUUGUGCCUUUGACAAAUUUGUACUUAAGAAUGCGUCGUCCCUGGUUGAGUUUCAUGUUGAUAUUUUGCACAAAAUCGAUCGAUCCUAUCGUUAUUGGAACAAGGUUGUGAGGCUACUAGGACAAGCACCUAAUGUUAAGCAUCUUAAUGUGCAGAAUUGGUGGUUUAAGUUUCUGACAUCAAAGGAGGAUUCUUUCCCCAAAAGUUUUAUGCUCCACAAUCUCAACCUCUUAGAGCUGCAAACAGGAUUUACCCAAUAUGAUCUGGUUGGCAUGGCUGCACUGCUUAAACUUUGUCCCAAUCUCGAGACAAUGAUUCUGGAAUACCUUUUCAAGAAAAGGGCAGAUGAGAGUUUAUCAGAAGAGUUGCUAAAUAAGCCAGUUGAAUUGAGCAUGCCAAGUCUUAAGCAAGUUACAAUGAACGUGUAUACCGGAACAGAAGAUGAAUUCAAUUUUAUGAAAAUGUUGAUUGGGCAAGGAGUUGUCCUAGAAAAGAUUGUGUUUGUUCCCGUCCAAGUUGAGAACGGAAAAGUUGUUGAGAGGUCGCUUCCUCCAGUGGUUCUAUGUAGAAACGGUUCACAAGGUUGGAAGUGCUCACCGGACCUCUCCUCAGUACGGAAUAUUAUAGAGUCUGAGCUAAAUGUGGAUUAGGUUUAAAAUUACAUGGGGAAUCCAUUGGCUCAUUCCAAGGUUUCUUGUUUUUCUGAAACUGGGUUUAAAAUUAGAUGAUUAUUACGAAUAUCAAUAUUAUGUUUGGAUUUUGUUUACGGAUGAUCAUCCGUCUUCUUUCUUCAUUAACAAAAA